ACCAGAUGGGUUGGGCAUACUGUCACAGCUCUGCAGCAGUUGUGGAAAGGCUAUAAAGCUUUUGUUCACCAUACUGGCCAGACAGCAGGGCCUGGCAGUGGUGCAGACAGUUCUGCUCAGAUCAAAGCAAAGUCCCUCUUCAAGCUCCUAACACAGAGAUCACUUAUAGUGUAUGCUCAUUUCCUUCAUGACGUCCUGAACACAUUGAGCAAACUAUCAGCAGAACUACAACGAAAGGAUGUGACCAUCCAUGAGUGCCACUAACAGUUAAAGGCUACUAUUGCUACUCUGGAACAGAUGAAAGAAAAACCUGGAUUUCAUCUACGUGCAGUAGAGAAUAAGAACACUUUCCAUGGCCAGUCACUGUCUGAGA